rnacentral:rRNA from 1 species
AACGCGAAGAACCUUACCUGGCCUUGACAUGCAUUGGACAGAGUGUGAAAGCACUCCUUCCUUCGGGACCGGUGCACAGGUGCUGCAUGGCUGUCGUCAGCUCGUGUCGUGAGAUGUUCGGUUAAGUCCGGCAACGAGCGCAACCCUUGUCUUUAGUUGCCAGCGGGUAAUGCCGGGGACUCUAAAGAGACAAACCUAUUUUAUAGGUGGGAAGGUGGGGACGACGUCAAGUCAGUAUGGCCCUUACGGCCAGGGCUGCACGCGUGCUACAAUGCCUAGUACAAUGGGAAGCAAAAUCGCGAGAUGGAGCAAAUCCACAAAACUAGGCCCAGUUCAGAUUGGAGUCUGCAACUCGACUCCAUGAAGUUGGAAUCGCUAGUAAUGGCGCAUCAGCUACGGCGCCGUGAAUACGUUCCCGGGCCUUGUACACACCGGCUAC